AAGGGGCCUUAGCGCUUGUCCAGGUCACCCCCACACCCCGCCUUUUACAGCCGAGGAAACAGGCCCCGAGAUGUCAAGAGACUCGCCUGAGGUCACACAGGCGCUCAGGCGAGCCUCUCGCUCCAUGGAGGAGGGCCACGGAAGUCAUGGCGGGAUCACGGGCUGAGUGCGUGGAGCCACGAGUGGUUAGACUGAGAGAGGGAUAAGGAAGAGCCAUGCAGAAACAUGAGCCAUAUUUUCAGAGUCUUGGAACGCAGAGCAUUAAUGGUUGCCUAAAGAGUUGCCAAUGGGCCAAAGGGGAGUUCAGGUGUUUUCGGGCUUCGAGCGGCCCCUGGCGGCCAUGGCGAAUAUUGCAGCUGGUUCAAAGGAGGAUCUGUGCAGGGGCAGAUGGACCGGACCGUCCAUCUGGUUUCAGAUCAUAGAAAUUCUUCAUUCAUCCACUUAGUGUUUAUUCUGUGGAUUGUCGGGACGAACUCUUCUGAGGGAAUGUAAAACCCAUUUAGAAGGCUCUACAGUGUUCUGGGAGCAUGUGGAGAAGAGCCCAGAGAUGGAAAGAACUGGGAAUGUCAUUCUGGGGAGAAGACUUGGGGAGACAUUUUGGUUGGUUGGUUUGUAUGAGUAAAUGGGUAUCGUAUAGGUAGAGGUAAUUCCAACCUUCUCCAGCUUAGGCGCUAUUGGACUAUUUAUUUUUCCUUUUAUUUUAUUUUUUUAAAGUUAAUUAAUUUAUUUAGAAUAUUUUUUUCCAUGGUUACACUGUUGGACUAUUUCAAAAGUAUAUGAACAGAAGCAGCUAGGUGGCUUAGUAGAUUGAGAGCCAGGUCUAGAACCCAGAGAGGUCCUGAAUUCAAAUGUGGAUUCAGACAUUUCUUCAUUUCUUUUGCUUUGGAACCAAUACAAAGUAUUGAUUCUAAUACAGAAGAUAAGAGUUUAUUUAAAAAGAAAAGAAAGGAAGGAAGGAAGGAAGGAAGGAAGGAAGGAAGGAAGGAAGGAAGGAAGGAAGGAAGAAAGGAAGGAAGGAAGGAAGAAAGGAAGGAAGGAAGGAAGGAAGGGAGGGAGGGAGGGAGGGAGGGAGGAAGGGAGGGAGGAAGAAUGAGAGAGAGAGAGAAAGGAAGGAGAAAGAAAGAAAGAAAGAAAGAAAGAGGAAGGGAGAGAUAAAAAGAGAGAAAGGAAGGAAGGAAGAAAAUCAAAGGAAGAAAGGAGAAAGAAAGAGAAAGAGAGGAAGGAAGAAAGGAGAAAGGAAGGAAGGAAGGAAGGAAGGAAGGAAGGAAGGAAGGAAGGAAGGAAGGAAGGAAGGAAGGAAGGAAUGGAAAAGAGAGAGACCAAGGAUGAACAAUAACAACCUUUCCAAUCUCCUCAUGGGUCUCUCCAGUCCCUUCCUUCCUAUCCAGUACUCAUGCACAUUAGUCAGGACAGUUCACCUUCUGUCCCUAGACUUGUGCCCUGGCUGCUCCCCAUGGCUGGAAUUCAUGUUCCCCUACUUCUGCCUUUCCUGCAAGUCUCAUCUCCACCAUCACCUUCAGCAGGAGACUUUUCUUCAUCCCUGUCCACUGCAGUCCAAACACUCACCUGUCGCUACUGACAAAGGCUCCCUAGUAUCUUGUCUAUCAUAAAGAAGAUGCUGGAAGCGGGGGACGUCCUGGGGCAUUCUUGUUUGGCGCUGAGAUGGAGAGAGGAGACAAGAGGCGGAUGGGGAUGUUGAGUCUUGGCAUUCAUGUGGCUGUGGAAGAGAACAGAGAAGUAUGGAAGGACUCUGGGAGCCCGCUGGAGGGGAAGCUCUCCUCUUCUUAGCUAGGUGGGGUUACCGGUUUGUUUUGCUACCACUGACAGAAGCUAAGCAGCUACUUCUCAGGCCAGCUCCUGGCCACUGAUUUUGGGAACGGAGAUUUUGCCUGCAGCCCAAGAAAGGUUUCCUCACGGCUGUUCUGGUAGGAGAAUGAAGAAGACCUUGUGGGCUGGCUAAGAGCUCCCAGCUGACCGAGUGGCUGCUGGGAUGGACCUGUGUUCUCUCUGCAAGGAGCAGGGGCAGAGGCUGGAGAGCUGGAAGGGUCCAUAGUGCAAAGCAGCCCAAAAGGAAUCAGUGCAAAGGCAGCCAAGUCUGCAACGAGGAAAGAGCCAGAGAAGCUCCCCUGAACUCUGGGGCAGGUGGGCAUCCUCAGGCUCCAGUCCUUCCCCCGCCCAUCCCUGACAGGGAUCCCUGCCCAGGAUCACACAGCCAUGAGGGGUCUGAUGAAAACUUGAACCCAGAUUUUCCGGAAAGGCCAGCCGUCUGCCCUCUCUGCCUCUCUGGUAAGCUCACUGUAUGUGUUGGAAUAAACAACAGGAGGCAAGAAGCA
rnacentral:lncRNA from 1 species